CCACUUUUUGGCUUUCGACUUCAGCGCUACUCCACUUGUUAAUUUUUCCUGCCCCAGAGGAGCGACAUCAUCAAUUAGCUUUUGUGGACACGGUGUUCCAUUCACACACACGUUUCUUUGUGCUGCAUUUUUCUUGCUUCAUAGGAGCGGAUUUCCGACUAACGCAUCUGGGGACACAGUUCCGACUAACACACACACACGUUUCUUUGUGCUGCAUUUUUCCUGCUUCAUUGGGACACAGUUCCGAUUAACACACACACACGUUUCUUUGUGCUGCAUUUUUCCUGCUUCAUAGGAGCGGAUUUCCGACUAACAUACACACACGUAUAAUCGCAGCUUCUCCGUUUGAAGUGUU